UCUUGCUGGAUUUCCCCUCCUGCUGCUGAUGAAAACCACUGCUUCCUUCCACAAGCUCCUCCGGCCCCGCCCUGUCCUGUUCCCUGGGGUAGCUGGAUGCCUGCUGAACUCCCCAGCGCUACCUCCAGCCCCUGGUAGAAAUACCAAGUCCCCACACCGUUUUUGUGCUCCCAAUCUCUUGCAUCUCCAGGUGAAAGACAAUGGAAAAAGCUGGUCCAGAAGGUCAAGCUAUGCUGGACUUGCAGAAUGACCAUCAACCUGCUUCAUUUUGGAGAAGGAACUUGCUCAUUGCUGAUGUUUGCUGCCUUAGAUAACAGACCUGCACUUCUGUUUCCCUGUUACAGGGUAGGCACCUUGCUUCGGUAAUUUUUUGCUCUAGUGCAAGAGCCUGUCAGCGCUCCAUGGUCACUGCUCCUCCACACAUGGUGUGAUGAGCACGUGGAGGUGAAUGAUCCGGAGUCACACUGCAAUGCCCGACAUCCAUCACCCAGCUUGGGCGAGAGCUCAGCUGUAAGCACUGAGGAGUUAACCUUCCUCUACCUUGAAUGGAACUGUGAAGCCACAUAAAGAAAAAUUGCCAGGUCUCAAACCACACAAAGAUGCUGUGCUGAAGUUCAGUGUUUUCUUUACAAAGCUUACUGGAAUCCCCUUUGGCCACCCCAGGAACACCCUUGGGCCAGAAAAAUCUCAUUCAUGAAAUGUCACUUGCUGGCAAUCCAGAAACAACCUCACUGACCUAGAAGGGUUCUCCAGUUUGUUUGGCAGGAGUGGAAUUAGACUGCUGAUGCUAAAUGGCUUAGCAUUAGCAGCAAAACAGCUUAAAUACCCUGUCCCAGAAGGUUAAACUGCAAUGAGCCUCUUAAAAACCUCUCACUGCAAUGGGCAAGCACUUGGCUCUGUGGCACAAGGUUGGGGAUCAGUCUUCCUCUUACCUCGUGUGGCUAUACAGCAGCAGAAAGCAUCAGCAUCAGAGGGAAAUAUUUCCAACAAAGUAACAUUUUCAUGUUACUUUUGAAAUAUAAAGAAGUAAAACUAUCAAAUGUAGACGUAAAAAAACCAAAACCCUAAUCAAAUUAAAUUUGAUAUUAAUGUAAGAAUAAGGAUAUUCUACCUUGAUUUAUACUUAUGCAAUUCUUUCCUCUUUAAGGAAUCUAAAAAAUUCAGCAGCAUGGGCUUUUGCAAAUUUACACACUGACAAACUAAUGUGUCUGUCCUACAGGUCAGUUGGGGUCCACACCAGCCUGCCUGGUAUGGUCUGCUGGGAUGGCAGCUCAGGUGUGAUAUUCAGAUUUUAUGUGGCUGGCACACUCAUCUACAGCUAAUGGCACCGGCAGUGGAUGCUUCCAGUACACAAUACCACUUUACUCACCAAAAUGUGUUGAUUCCUGAUGAAAUGCUCCAACUUUAAAGCACUACAGUACAGUUUAUACAAGGGACCAGGAUUAAAAUCAAGGAGAAGAAAGACCAUAAAGCAAACAAACAGUAAAGGAGAAAUUUCUCCCACUCAAAAUGAUGUUUCCUGCCAGGCAAGAAGAAAUGUCUGGUCAACAAAAAUAAUUUGGUAAGUUGCUUCAGAGAAGCACAUCUGAAGUAAAAAAGAAACCACCAUAAAACAAACUUAACCCUAAGAAAGAACAAAACAAAAAGAAGGUAGUCUAUGGUUCAAAAUACUAUUUUCUAAUCCCUUCUCAAGACAAGCCUCAGACAUGUAAUCUAGGGCAUGACAUAAUUUUAAGUUCUGUCCUUGAAACCUUUUUCCCCUCUUCCUCCCUGUCAGGAGCCAUACAAAGUAAUGGGUCUGCAAAGAAUUACAGCAUUCCAGCAUCAAUUAGCUGAGUUGGGGGGAACCUGUUUCAGCUUCCUUCAAGGCUACUUUCAGCAGCCACUAUAGCCUGGUAACAUCUGGAGGCCUUGACAGGAAGGCAAAACAACCAUCUGAGCAGUGACCUUAAAAGGUUUCUGGGAAAAAAUUAUUUUCUGAAAAAAAAAAAAAAAAAAAAGUCUGCAGAGCAGCUCUACCAGAAAGUUCUUCAAAGAUAUCUAAAACUGCCUUGUUUGCUAACAGGAACCUUGGGUGUUCCAGAAAUGUGGGUUCCUGAGAGGCCAAGCAAAACUGUGUGGCUUGCAGAGUGAACCUCCAAAGCCCUUAGGAACUCCUACUUUCAAGCCAUAAUUGUUGCUGUAUUUUGCCUGAGACCAGAAUCUGAAGUUGUCAUUUUCUCCCUAGUUCUAAAAAAGCAAUUUGUCAUGUGGCAUGGAUGAUUUGGCUCUACCCUGUAUUUCCCUGCUAGUAACUGUUAGCCCACUGGAAAACCAGAAGUGUAUGAUAAGGGACACCCAGUCAGAGCCUCACUCCAGCCAGGGCUGAUGGAAUGGCUCGUGCCCCUUGUGUCCCUGCUCAUCUGUGAAGCAAAUCCACACCUCCAGGAUAAUUUGUUCUGUUUCAAGCCCACUGUUAAAAAUAGAAGUGCUUUGCAUCUAUUGAAGCUACACCUCAGCCUCGCUGAGGAGAGCGGGUAAUUUGACUCUCAGCUCCCAAGAACUGGUGCUAAUACGAAGUGCUGACUCCAGGAAAAUCACACCAACCCUGAGACCAAACCAGGAGCUGCCUCAGCUUUCCUGCUUUCAGCUGGAAACUGAAUUACAUGGGACAGAAAGUCUUCAGAACAUUUUUUUGUCACUCAUCUCUCAAAAGCAGAGUUUGGAGAGAGCAGAGCACAAUGUAAAGAACACUGAAUUGAGCUUAAUUAUCUGUAUUCAUAUUGAAGUUGUGUCUUAUCAUGAAUAUUUCUUCAAAGAUCAAGUAGUUGCCAUGGCACUUAACACUUGGUAGGUUUAAAAAAAGGGUUUCCUUUUUGUUGUUAUUUCAAAUCCAGCUACAAGAGGACAAAAAAAGAGAACAAUCCUUAGGACAAAUGAUUUUGUUACAGAAGAAUAAACAAAUACUGUAGAAUUCAUAACCCCAAGAGUUGAAAAGCAUGCUUGGGUCUCAUUCAUCACAACUAGCAGCUCCUACAAUGUACAUCUAACAGGCAAUGCCAGUUUUUCAAAGGGUUGGGUAGGCAAAACAUUAUUUUAAGUGAAGUCCAUAGGAUUAACGCAAGGUCUCUGAAUACAGUUCAAAGGUAACAGUGAUUGUUUAGAACAGUUCCCUUCACAUGAGUUUUGAGGCACCUUAAAACCAUACCAGUAACAAAAAAAUUCCUGGGUUUAAAGUGUAUUUUGAGUAAUCAUUUUCAGAAAGGCUGAAAUUCCUUAGCUUUCAACAGAUUUUAACUGUACUUUGGAAGAAAAUAAAACUAGUUACCAUUAAAAAAAAA